UUUGCUGUUGGUUUGAGCCGACAACUCAAUGGACAUGGGUUAUCUCUGUUGUGCUUGUUGUGCUUGUUUGUGCGACCGUAGUUAUAUGGACAUGGGAUAGAACUCCAACCUCGGCCUUUCUUCCACCUGAAAGUCACUUUCUAAAGCCAUUACCAUCGUUAUCGUUUUGAUCAUUCUGAAACGUCAAAAUUUGAUAUUUGUGGAUUAUGGUUUUCUUUGAUCAUAUUUCUAGCACAUUCAUUGUUUGUAUACAGUAUACCAUAAUCAUUCUUCCAAAACGCCAAAAAAUAUUAAGUGUUGUAUUUGAAUGUUUUUUUAUCAAAUUUUUUAUAUUUUGUACUUCUAUAAAUCAUCUCUUCCUAUAUUAAUUUGGUUUUAUGUAAUAUAGUUUAUGUAAUAUUUAUUAUCUAAAUUAUCACAAUUUGCAAAAAAAAUAUUUUCGAAAAAUAUUUUUUUUAUUCAGAAAAACUUCAAAAAGGGAAUCAGGGUUGGAGGUGUAAAAAUAAGAGGAGUUCUUCGCUGUUUUUUUAAAAAGAAAUAUAUUAAAAAAACUAAAAAACCCCAAAGAGGGUCUCAGGAUUGGAGAUGCCUUAACACUACAAGAAAAUAUGUGAAUUCCCGACCAAGCUUUUGGUCGGAACUAAACAAUUUUUUCGAUGACUUUCCAAGAAAAAAAUUGAUCUCAAUAUGGGCCUCGGAAAUAAAAUUUGUCAAGUUUGUCAGAAAAUAUCUGAGAAAAUUGUUUAUCUGUAAGUUGUCGGAAUAAGGUGGUUGGAAAUUUCUCGGAAGUUUUCCGAAGAAUUUCUAAGAAAAUAAUAAUUUAAUAACAUUUUGUCGGAAAUUUCUCGACAAUAUUCCGAGAACUUUCUGACAAAAUCAAUCGGAAAGUCACUGAUAACACCGUAUUUUGACCACUUUUAUGGAUCGUUUUGAAAUACUUUUUCUAUGUUUUUAAUUGCUUUUAAGUAAUUUUAUUACGUUUUUCUAGUAUUUGUAGUUCCAAGACUCUUUUUAGGUAACUUUGGGAAAAGCUUAACAAAAUGGAUAGAAAACCAGAUUUCAGCUCAGAGUCACACCGUCAGAAGUUCACCCCUGAUUGAAGGUCUUAUCACCGUCUGAUCCAGCUUAAAUUUGGAGAUCUUAAAGAUGGAAGUAUCAGCUUUCCAGCACACUUUACAGCUUGGCAAUCCAAAUGUUCAAUCAAAAGAUACGCGAAGAACAAGAUGUCCCGUAAACCAGCCGACAAGCGUUUCCACCCGCGGCCAACAGACCAAUCCCCGCGGUCACAGCCAUCCCGACCGCGGCCAGCCACCCAUUUCUCGCGGUCACACUCAUCCCGACCGCGGCCAGCUAACUCCAACUUUGAAGGCCCAUUUCUGAAGCCCGUAUCAUUUUCCCAGCCUCAAUUCCGGAACCCUAGACACCAGAGAGUAUUGGAGACUAUAAAUACAUGUCAUUUAUGUCGUUUUUCAAGAGAGAAGAAGAGAGACGAAAUACUUUACAUAAAUUUUACUUUAAGCUUUGUUUUUAGGUUUUAGGGAGAGAGAGAUCUGUCUCUUGAACCCUUGUUCUUUCUUUUUCAAUUUCGGUUUCUAUUCUACUUUUUAAUACUAUGUUUUUGAUUUCGUUCAUCAUGUCUGAGUAAUUUUAUUGUUGGGUUUAAGGGAUUUUCGAUGGGGAUUUAUAUGUUCGGUGAGGAUUCCAUGAGCUUUUGAGCCGAAUCUUAGAACUUUUUCUUCUGAAUUCGUUUUUACUGCAUGAGAGUAGCGUCAUGAACUACAAUCUGAUCCAGAUGCUUGGUGACACGAAAGUGUUCAUCCGGUGUCAGAUCUAUUUUGGGAGGGCAAAACAAACAUAGGAGUAGAAACCUACCUAUGGGCGAUUUGUGAAUGCUGACGAGUCUUAAACAUAAUGCAUCUCUUCUUUUCCAGGGACAGAGUGGAAACCUACUGGUCAGGGUUACUAGAGAUAGUUGUCUAUGAUCACGAUAGUGGCGUAUUCAUACGUCCGUGACUCCAGUUCGAAAAGUUUAAGCUAAGAUCUUAUCAAAUUUACUCUCUAGCAAUGUUUUGAAUCGUUCGUACCCCUGAGAAAACUUCCCUGAACCCCAGCGCCUCUUUUCUUAUAGAUUUACACCGAUUUUCAUUCAAGCUUUAGUCUAGUAUCUUUACUCUUUCAAUCGAUUUUCACUUAGCAAUUAGGUCUAGCCGUUUUUCUCGUUUUUACCCUUUUUCGUUAAGUUUAGUUAUUAUGUCAUUUUAAUUCCCGUAGUUUCUCUUUAAAAUUCGUUUUUGCAUUUUAAACACACCACCAAAACCCUCACAAAACUCGCCUGGUUAUAGAUUUCCUUACUUUAUAUUUCUUUCGAAGACUUUUGCAGGAAAGAUCCUCUUUCCCUGUGGAUUCGAUCUCUAAGUACUACAAUCGAUCAGAUGUGUACUUGCGGCUAUUGAUUUCAUUUAGGGUAAAACUUGACAACCCUCGACACACACCACAUCAGUCACCAGAAUUUUUCUGACAAAUUUCUGACCAAAUAUUAUUAAAAAAUAAAUUUCGAGAUGUUUCCGAGGAGAAAAAAAAAACUAUUUCAUAACAAUUUUCAAUUAACUACCAUUAAAAGAUUAAUCUUUAAACUACAUUUUAAAUUUUAUAAGAAUUUAGAAUUCCAAAACAAUUUCGAGUUAACAACUAUUCUAAUGUUACAAUUCUAUUCUAAUGUUAAAAAAGUAAAAAAAAAAAACGAAAACAAAAGGUCAUCUCAUAAUUUAUAAUAGAACAAUUAUAACAAAAACACACUUUCCUUACAAAAUGAUUCGUAGUUGUCUAAGUGGAAGUAGAGAGGAAUAGAAGAAAGAGUUGUGAGAUUGUUAUGGCAAAAGUUGUGAGAGUGCAGAGGGAAAGUUACACAGUUUUAUAGGCUAAAAUUUGAUUUUCUAGAAGUUUCCAGUGACGUUGUCUAGAAACCGUAGAUGAUAUGACUUAACAUGUUAUUGGAAUUUUGUCGGAAACGUUUAGUAUUUUCUGAGAAAUGUCCUAUACAAGUUAGAAAAUUGUCAUAAAUUCGUCGGAAAAUUGUUAGAACUAUCCCAAGAACUUUACAAUAAACUCAACCAGAAAGGUCACCGGAAAUUAUCCGACGAAUUUCUGACAAGAUAUUAAUAUACUCUCCCAUUCUGAAAAUUUUUUGAGGAGAAAAAAACAUAUAUAUAUAUAUAUAUAUAUAUUAUCUGGUUCCUACAAAUUUCUGACAUCAUUAACAAAUUAAUUUUCCAUAUUACAUAAUUUUUUCAAAUAGUAAGAUUUUGGACAAUUUUUCAAGAAUGUAUCUCCAUCCCUAAAAAUUCCGACAAUUUUCCUAAAAGUUUUACGACAAAAUUCGAGAAAUCUUUUCAUCGGAAAAUUCCGACUAUAUUUUGUGAGAAUUUUGGCAAAAUUCUGAGAAAAUUUUAUGUCGAAAAAUCCGAUGAAAAGAUUCGAAGGAAGUUUUUUACAAAUUUUUGAAAAAAUUAUAGUCGUCAGUUUGGAAAUUUCAAAAAUUAUAGUCGGAAUUUUCCAACCACAUUUUUUGUUGAAAAGUUUUGUCAGAAAGUUUUAUCGGAAAUAUACAUGUUUUCUUGUAGUAUAAAGCAUAUUUGAAAAAUACAUGUGGCCUUAUAUAUAAAUACUUCAAAUCAUUGAAUAUGGUUAAAUCAUGGUUUGUGGAUUCUUAGACUUGGAACUUUUAAGUAACGAUGUCGAGAGUUUUACAUUUUGUAAAGAUUUAUAUACAGAUUUAAGUUUAAUUUAUAAAGAAAGAUAAAAAAGAUUGUUUCUAUUAUUGUCCUAAAAUAAAUUUAUAAAAAUUAGAAAUUGCAUAAGAAAAAAUAAGGAAAUAUGAAAUACGGGAAAAAACGCAUUGCCAAGGAAUUAUAUAAGAAGAUAUACAAGAAAGGCUUCGCACAAGACAUUGCUGACUCAAAAUCAAAAUGGUUAACCAUUACACCAAACUAAAAUUUCUUAAGAUGCAGCCCAAAAAGUUUAAACAUAUAUAUUGUGGCUUGAAGCGAGUGCUUCACUUGCUUUAUAGUAGGGACGGGUCUGCAUUUUAGUGUGUUUAGCGCAUUUAUUAUGUUUUGAUGUGUGUUGAAAUUUUGUUAUGCUUAAGUGUGGUUUGAGUUUUUGUGCUUCAUGGUUUAAUUGUGCUUGAGCGUGUUUUCAGAUGGUGUGAGAAACCCAGAAUGAGUUAUACAGAUAGUUACGUUAUGUUAUCUUUCACGAGUUUGCAACUCAAAAGGACGAAGUAAAAGACACGAGAAGAAAACAAAGAGAGAUUUUUUUAUUUACCUCUGAGUCUCUGACCCAUUUGCACCUAAACUUGUGUCUUUUUGCUGCUUAAGAACCUAUGGAUGAACCAAGAAAGACGAAGAGCGUUUAUUUUAUUUACUUGACCCCUCAUUUACUUCCUCAAACAUAUGCAUGAAGCAAGAAACAUGAGAAGUGCAAAGAGAGUUUGUUUAUUUACCAGACUCUUCAAUUUUU
rnacentral:lncRNA from 1 species